rnacentral:rRNA from 1 species
UACAGAGGUCUCGAGCGUUGUUCGGAUUCAUUGGGCGUAAAGGGUGCGUAGGCGGCGGGGUAAGUCUGAUGUGAAAUCCCGGGGCUCAACCCCGGAAUGGCAUUGGAUACUGCCUUGCUAGAGAACUGGAGAGGAGACUGGAAUUUACGGUGUAGAAGUGAAAUGCGUAGAGAUCGUAAGGAAGACCAGUGGCGAAGGCGAGUCUCUGGACAGUUCCUGACGCUGAGGCACGAAGGCCAGGGGAGCAAACGGG